rnacentral:rRNA from 1 species
AUACGGAGGGUACAAGCGUUAAUCGGAAUUACUGGGCGUAAAGCGCGCGUAGGCGGUUUGAUAAGUCGGAUGUGAAAUCCCCGGGCUCAACCUGGGAAUUGCAUUCGAUACUGUCAGGCUAGAGUGUGGUAGAGGGAAGUGGAAUUUCCGGUGUAGCGGUGAAAUGCGUAGAUAUCGGAAGGAACACCAGUGGCGAAGGCGGCUUCCUGCACCAACACUGACGCUGAGGUGCGAAAGCGUGGGGAGCAAACAGGAUUAGAAACCCUAGUAGUCC